GUGGAUUAGAUACCCUAGUAGUCCAUGCCGUAAACGUUGGGCGCUAGGUGUGGGACUCAUUCCACGAGUUCCGUGCCGCAGCUAACGCAUUAAGCGCCCCGCCUGGGGAGUACGGCCGCAAGGCUAAAACUCAAAGGAAUUGACGGGGGCCCGCACAAGCGGCGGAGCAUGCGGAUUAAUUCGAUGCAACGCGAAGAACCUUACCAAGGCUUGACAUAUACCGGAAACAUCCAGAGAUGGGUGCCCCUUUUUGGUCGGUAUACAGGUGGUGCACGGUCGUCGACAACU
rnacentral:rRNA from 1 species